GACGAACGCUGGCGGCGUGCUUAACACAUGCAAGUCGAACGGUAAGGCCCUUCGGGGUACACGAGUGGCGAACGGGUGAGUAACACGUGGGUGAUCUGCCCAGCACUUCGGGAUAAGCCUGGGAAACUGGGUCUAAUACCGGAUAGGACCACUGCCUGCAUGGGUGGUGGUGGAAAGCUUUUGCGGUGUGGGAUGGGCCCGCGGCCUAUCAGCUUGUUGGUGGGGUGAUGGCCUACCAAGGCGACGACGGGUAGCCGGCCUGAGAGGGUGACCGGCCACACUGGGACUGAGAUACGGCCCAGACUCCUACGGGAGGCAGCAGUGGGGAAUAUUGCACAAUGGGCGCAAGCCUGAUGCAGCGACGCCGCGUGAGGGAUGACGGCCUUCGGGUUGUAAACCUCCUUCAGCACCGACGAAGCGCAAGUGACGGUAGGUGCAGAAGAAGGACCGGCCAACUACGUGCCAGCAGCAGCCGCCG
rnacentral:rRNA from 1 species